UACGUAGGUGGCAAGCGUCGUCCGGAUUUACUGGGCGUAAAGGAUGCGUAGGCGGACAUUUAAGUCAGAUGUGAAAUACCCGAGCUUAACUUGGGUGCUGCAUUUGAAACUGGGUGUCUAGAGUGCAGGAGAGGUAAGUGGAAUUCCUGGUGUAGCGGUGAAAUGCGUAGAGAUUAGGAAGAACACCAGUGGCGAAGGCGACUUACUGGACUGUAACUGACGCUGAGGCAUGAAAGCGUGGGGAGCAAACAGG
rnacentral:rRNA from 1 species